rnacentral:lncRNA from 1 species
CCCUCAGCUGCAUCCUCCCACAGGCCCCCACUCAGAUUGCAGGGCUGGUCCUCAGCCGCUGGCUGGCAGCUGACAAAACCACAGGCCAAUCCCCGCUGGCAGGAUGGGGACAGGCUGACAAUUCCAGGUCCUAACUGCACGGUCUUGCAUUUCCUUCUCUGAAGACUCAGGCAGCCUUCCGUGACUUCUGCUGUCAUCCCAGUGGCCUCUGUCUCCAGAGCAGGUGGAGCAAGGAGGCUGUCUACUUGCUCCCUGGACCCAGCGGACAUAUUCCCAGAGACAGCUGGAAAUAUCAUUGUGAUGUCGGACACUGGAGAUGGGACAGGAGCCACACAGACCCAGCUUUGCCCUCCGGAACUCACAGCAUCCCAGCGGCCGGCAGGGAGAGAGAGGGCCAGCAAACAACUCCGCGAGGGGGUCCCGCGAUAACAUGCGAGAAGUGGGUGGAGAACGCCGGGCAAGCCUGGGUAGCCGAGGAGGGACAGACAAGCAGGUGCAUGGGCCGAGACAUGGAGGGUACCUGGGGACACCAUCCUGGGGCAGGAAACGGCAGGUGCAAAGGCCCCGGGGCCGGCUGAGCUGCUGGCUCCCUCGCUCAGGGAGCAUCUGAGCAGCACCUCCCAGAAGCCAGGGCUGUGCUCGUGUGCAUGGGCCAAGCUUCAGA